AACGAACGCUGGCGGCAGGCCUAACACAUGCAAGUCAAACGGCCCUUCGGGGCAGUGGCGCACGGGUGCGUAACGCGUGGGAAUGUACACCUUGGUGCGGAAUAACGUAGAGAAAUUUACGCUAAUACCGCAUAAUGACUCCGGUCCAAAGAUUUAUCGCCAAGGGAUCAGCCCGCGUUAGAUUAGUUUGUUGGUGAGGUAACGGCUCACCAAGACUACGAUCUAUAGGGGGUCUUAGAGGAUGAUCCCCCACACUGGUACUGAGACACGGGCCAG
rnacentral:rRNA from 1 species